ensembl:snRNA U6 U6 spliceosomal RNA
GUGCUGGCUUCUGCAGCACAUAUACUAAAAUUGGAACAAUAUAGAGAUUAGCACAGCCCCUCAUAAGGAUGACACACCAAUUCAUAAAGUAGCCCAUGUUAAA